UCCAAGUGUGAGUCUAAGUCCCACAUUGGAGAGAAAUGAGAAAGUAGAGUGGUUUAUAAGUGGGAAGACCCAUUAACUCAUUGCCUUAAGGUUUUGGGUAAAAGAGUGGUGUCAACUACUUAUAAGGUUGGACUCACAUCUCAUUUGCUUAUUCACUUCCCGAAUCGGCAAGAAGGAAGAAACAGAUAUUCUUUGAAAAAACAAGUUUAGUUUAAAGAAAGUCAUACAUAGUACAAGACCUAGAAUGUUCAUUUCUUUUCGGAAAUCAUGUUAUGAUAUAAAAAUAGUUGGACUUUU